UAUACACACACUCAUAUGUAUGAAUAUACAUGUGAGUGUAUGUAUGUAUAUAUACAUAUAUAUUUAUAUAAAUACACACAUAUAUGUAUAUAUGUGUGUAAUUGUAUGUAUGCAUAAUACACACGCAUAUAUUUGUACUGUACACACUAUAAAUACACACAUAAUACAUACACACUGCAUUGUGUGUAUAUACAUUGUGUACAGUACAAAUACAGAUACAAUGUACAUAUAUACACAGAUGUAUAUAUACAUAUAUAUCUACAGUAUGUGUGUGCAUAUAUUGUGCACGCACGCACACACACACACAUCUAACCUCAUCCCAUUAAAAAGAGUGCCAGGAAACAGUAAAUGCUGGAGAAAAACAUUGCGUUUGAUUAGAAAGGAAAAAAACUAAAUGUCUGAGGUCUUUUUAAAUAAAAAGAGACAUUGUAAAAUAUAUUACUGAUAAAAAAAAAAAAAAAGCGGGGGAGAGGAAAAUAAAUUGGAAAAAGAAAGAACAUAUAAAUGCAAAAUGAUUCCGCAAGUUGAGCAGGCGUCAUAAAGAUGGACGACAUGACAGAUUUUGGCAUAGAGGUUUGAAUAACUUACCCACUUUUUCUACAUUUGGUUACAUUCACUAUUUUGGCCUCCGGAGGUCCUAAAAGGUCCACAGAAGAAUCACAGCAUGGCUCAUUAGAGAAGAUAUCCCUUUUCAAAAGAUUGGGAGGAUUCAAGUAAGUGGAGGAAGAGGAGGAGAAGAAGAAGUAGAUGCUACUGGCACAUUUAAGAUUAGUCUUUCAUCAAAUCCACUUAGUCUUUUUACUGUCACUUCCUCCUCGCUGCAUCCACAGGGUCUCGCUGCUGUUUUAUCAACUUCUCAAUCUCUGCGCCCAACGUCUGAAGGUUCUCCUGGAAAUGAAAAGUCAUCAGUAUUUUUCCCAUCCAUUUAUUUUCUAUGGCUUGUCCUCAUCUAGGUUGCGGGGGGUGUUUUGCCCAAUAUAUGUUUUAUAUCUUUGGAAGAAAUGUUGACAUUUUCAGUGCCUUAAAAAGUUAAAGUGGCGAGGCCAGUGAUGGUGAUGCUGGAAGGGACUUUUGUCUCUUGUCCAUGCUCCUCUGUCCUAUUUCCUCUCGAGCUACCCUUUGUCUCUCUAUCCUAACCCAACUGGUAGAGAGACGGCCAUCCCACAGAGAUUAGGUACUGUAUAAGGUUUCUUUCCUAAGGAGAGUUUUUCUUUGCCAAGUGCUUGCACAUCUUUGGAUCAGUUCAAUGUAUAAGGAGUGUGGUUUAUGUGUAAAGUGUCCUCAGAUAACUUCUGUUGUGAUUUAGAGCUAAAUAAAAAUAUUACAAUUUAAUUUUCAAAAUUAAAAAAAUAUAUUUAGGAUAAACAAGCUUUAAAUAAUUGAUCAUUUUCAUUUUUUAACUGAGCGUUGAUUGUGCAAAUAUGUAUGGAUGCAAUCAUACAUAUAGUAUAUAAGCGUACAUUGUGCAGAGGGGAAGAAUUUCUACAAAAACAUUGCUUUUUUUCCGUCUAUAAAGAACAAUGUCAGCAGCAUUUGUUUGUUAUAUGAAGACAUUUAUAACGUAGUAUAGCUUUUUAACAGGAUGUUUCUUUUUAAAGCGUUUCCAAUCACCAUUUACAUAUUUUUUUUAUGUAUAAGAUACAUGUUAUAAAAAAUAAUUCAUUAUUAAUUUAUAAAUUCAUUAUUUAUUAUAUUAGUUUAUUCAUUAUUUGUUGAGAAAAAAUAUUUAUUUUCUUUUAAAAUACCUUAAAAAUAAAUUCUCGGUAUUUUGUAUCACAAAAAUCAUUACAAACAAUUAACUUUAAAACAUUUUUUUAUUUUUAUCAAUUCAUAUUUUUCAAAGUACUUUAAGCUUCUUCAGUCACCACUCUUACUACUUCAGGGAUGACUAAAUGUUUAAAAAUAUAAUUUGUAUUAUUUAACUAUUAUAAGCUCAUAAAUCAGUAUUUGUAAAAUUUUUUGGUAGAUAUUUGUAAAAAUGUUUUCCAAAAAUGUUAAAUAUGAUUUUAUCCUUAUAUUUUGUAUAAAUAAAUAACAUAAUAUAUAACACGAUAUUUACAAUAAAAAAGAAAUAUGCACACACAUUAAAAUAAUUAAUAACAUAAAAAAAAAAUCAUUGCAGAUAUUCUAAAAAUAUGCUAUAUUUAUAAUAUAUGUAACAAAUAUAUUAUAAAAGGCAUAAACAGUCCUAGUUCAUGUUCGGUGUAAUAAAUGUACUUUCAUCAAUAUUUUGUAUGCAUUUGUUUAGUAUAGUUCCAUGAUGAAAUCACAGCUGUGAGCAAAUGGACGCCAUACCUUGAGAGUGAUGUUCUUCAGCAGCGUGUCUUCCAGCACUGCCUGCAGCUUCCUGUUGAUCUCUAGCGAGAGGUCCAGCGUCAGCCCGCUGUCAGCCGGGUGGGAUGUGUACAGCGACGCCAUGAUGCCGCCACGCCGGCUCAGGUGGGCUUUGUUGAUGUCCGACGCCUCCGACGAAAGUGCCCCAGACUCCUCCCUGAGCACGUAGCUCUGGAUGAUUCUAUGAAGAAGGAGGAAUGUCUAGCUGAGAACGUGGAUUCUCAAAGUGUACACAGGAACAGCAGUCAGUUGACAACUUCCAGUAUAUCCGUGAAUACAACGUUGGUGGGCGUCACUCACUUGGUCUUUUUCCGGAUCUCCUCCACCAGUUGCUUAAUGUGAUCCUCCAUGAACUCGAUCUUCUCCUGCUUGCGAGCCAGCGCCUUCUGCAGGCGGACGAUGCGCUCCACCAGCACGGCUUUAUCCACCUGAGGGAAGCUGUCCACGACCACCACCGAGGUGCCCGACUGGCUCUCUGGCGAGCGCUCCUCGACCCCUCCGCUACCUCCGUGACGUGCAUUCAGGGAGCCUGGUAGAGGGGAAACACGCAUCACAGCUUAGGUCACGGGACCUUAACCACCAUGGUUGACAUUGUAAUAUAUUUUUUAUUUUUUUUGACAAACCAGAGGAAGCACCUGAGGAACUCGAUCGGCUCCCCAUGCUGCCGCCGUCCCGCUCGCAGCCUCCGUUUUCAACCUGCUCUAGUCGCUUUCGGGCUGUGACAGAACAAAAUCAACAGUCAAAUAAAACACAUCAUAAGAUGAUAUUUUAGGUAUUUUCAGGUCAUAAUAUGAUAUUUUAGGUAUUUUCAGGGUGUAGAGAUUUAUACAUGCAAACCAACAGACUUUUGAGCUUUUCUUAUUGUCAUUCACAUGCUACAACUCAUUUAUUUCUUUGUUUGUGCAUUCCUUUGCUUGAAAUGUGCAUAAAUGUUCUCCUUGUAUGCUUAUCAGUUUUUGCAUAUAAUGAAGUAAUGAGUUGAUCUACGUGGACAACGACUUAAACAAGUUGAAAAACUUAUUCAGGUGUUACCAUUUAGUGGUCAAUUGUAUGAAAUAUAUACUGUACUGUGUAAUCUACUAAUAAAAGUUUCAAUCAAUCAAAA